UCACCCCAUAGAUGUAACAUUCCGCACGUAGACUCUGAUCAUGUCUUCUUGUGGGACUAAAGUUAAACAAAAUGGAUGAAAGCUAACUAGUUCCUCGUAGGAGAAAUAGAGAAUUCUUAUUUAUAGAAAAUAUAAAAGAUUCCUCAAGAAAGAUGCAUGAGAAUCAUCAAAGUAAAAAUGUCAUAUCCUGUAACGGAAUUUAUUAUUUCAUUAAUAAACAAAGGCGGAAUAACGUGAAAAGAGAUUAAGACGGAGGUGGUACGUGGAAUAUUGUGGCUAUCAUCAACUUAGGGUAAUGCAAUAAUACGUGGUGAAGGUGGAGGUGGAGAUCGAGGAGGAGGCGGAGGUGGAGAUCGAGGAGGAGGCGGAGGUGGUGGAGGUGGAGGUGGAGGAGGUGGAGGUGGUGGAGGCGGAGGUGGGGGAGGUGGAGGUGGAGGUGGAGGAGGAGGAGGAGGCGGAGGCGGAGGCGGAGGUGGAGGANNN
rnacentral:lncRNA from 1 species